UUUUUAUUAAGUAAGUCUUGGUGACUCUCGUUUCAGGCGGUUCACACCAAAGAAUUAACAAAAAAAAAUUGUUUAAAUUAAUAAAUUAAAUGACUAACAUCAUCGGGUCAUCGUUUUCCAACGCCCGGUGAAAAACGUAGUAGGCUAGUUAAAAGCAAUAUUAUCGGCCCGCUACCAAAAAAAGAGAUGUUCAUUGCACUCUCAUGGCCAAGGAAUGGCGUUGUAGUUAUUUGUCCGGGUCUCAAAAGUUUUUUUGUGAAGGUCAAAUUCAAACAUUUCGGCGAUAGAGUGCUUUAAACUCUCGUGCUAAACGUAGCGCUGCAACCAGCAAAACAUGACAAUAAUUAAAAUAAGUGAUUGUGUGUUAAAAAUAGUCUAGAGGGCAAUAUUAGGACGAAAUUCUAAAAAAAAUUGAAAGUGAUUAGUUAAUGUGCAUGUGUUGAAGUCGGUCAGUUACAAUGGACUCGCGUCAUAUUUCGACGGCCGUUCAAUCUUGUUGUUUAUUAUGGACCUACAGUUUAACGUGGGUUAACGGUGGAACCACGAGUGCUUUUUGAAGACAAACACAAACAAUCAUGCCCUUGCCAGGAUUCGAACCUGAGACCACACGAUCGCAUCGUGAACACUGCCCACGGUGCUACCGGGAUCGACACUGAUGCAAAUUAACCUCUCAAUAUACCGAGAAUCUAUAUAAAAGUAUCAAUUUAUUGUAUUUUUGGUUUCUGUUGCAUCCCUCUCUUCUGAAAUAUUGGACAUUUAAAUUCUGUGCAUUAUUUAGUCUUUGGACCUUAACUGGUUGUUUUCUUUUUAAGGAGACUUCCAGCACUUGGGUGGAAAAUCCUGUUCACAAUUAUAUUAA